rnacentral:lncRNA from 1 species
UAAAUAAGACGCAAUAUUAUUACACAAUCAUUUGUAUCAUUUGUCACUUUGGUAAGGCACUGAAGCGUCCAAGUAUUAUACAUCCAACAUCCAAGUAAUAUUACAGUGGUUCAGUACCUUGAAUUAAUAUUAUAGGAUUCAGAAGUAUUCACCGGAGAUAGGGAUCAGAAUCUCUUUGUUCGUAUUAUGUUGCUCCAGUUUGCCCAAUCAUUGGAAUUCUGGUGACUGCAGAGUACCUACAGGUCAACUGAGAACAACAAGGUCAUGUCUGAAUACCAGAUGCUGGGAAAGAGUGGGUUGAAACUAAAAGGUGUUGCCGACGUGUCUUUGAAAAAAAAGAAGAAGAAGAAGGACAAGACCAAGAUUCUAGAGACAGUGGUCAAGGCCCCUGUUGAUGCCAGUACUGAGGUGUCAAAGAAACAACAGAAAACCAAAACAAAGGCAGAACUAGCUUUUGAGAAACAGAGGGAGAAAAAUGAAUUGAAGAGGAUCAUGGAGAAGGCAUCAAAGACACACAAGCAGAGAGUGGAAGAUUUCAACAGGCACCUGGACAGCCUCACAGAACACUUUGAUAUCCCCAAAGUCAGCUGGACCAAAUAAGAUGUCUCAUGGGUACUGGAAAACUUCACUUUGUGUUUCUACCAUUCAUUGUCACGUGUUGCAGUCGAAUUGUCGGCUUCCCACAUCGUGCGCCCCUGUGUGCGAGAUGAAUGGUUCGCGAUUCGCGAAUAGUGUAAUGAAUGCUGUGACAUCCACCAUAUGUACUUAUGUAGGGUAGUUCUACGAGAGCUGCGCUUACACGGUUCGUCGCUUCCUAAUCGUACCAAGCUCAUUUUAUUUUGAGCAUGUCAGCUUACGGUAUUGCCCAUCAGCGCGUAAAUCUAGUUAUCGUGGCGAGAAUAAAAUACACCAAAUCUCUGACUACUAA